GAUGAACGCUAGCGAUAGGCCUAACACAUGCAAGUCGAGGGGCAUCACAUGAAGUAGCAAUACGGAUGGUGGCGACCGGCGCACGGGUGAGUAACACGUAUGCAACCUGCCUUCAACAAGGGGAUAACCCGUUGAAAGACGGACUAAUACCCUAUAACACAGGGGUCCCGCAUGGGAAUAUUUGUUAAAGGACAACCGGUUGAAGAUGGGCAUGCGUUCCAUUAGCUGGUUGGUGGGGUAACGGCCCACCAAGGCAACGAUGGAUAGGGGAACUGAGAGGUUUAUCCCCCACACUGGUACUGAGACACGGACCAGACUCCUACGGGAGGCAGCAGUGAGGAAUAUUGGUCAAUGGGCGAGAGCCUGAACCAGCCAAGUCGCGUGCAGGAAGAAUGUCCUAUGGAUUGUAAACUGCUUUUGCAGGGGAAUAAAGUGAGCCACGUGUGGUUUUUGUAUGUACUCUGCGAAUAAGGAUCGGCUAACUCCGUGCCAGCAGCC
rnacentral:rRNA from 1 species